UAAACAAAGAGAAAUGCUUACCUGACACAGUCAGCACGCAUCUGCAGACCAGCCUAUCUAGAUUGCCCAUGGUGGGAGGGAUAUGCACACUGCCCCUCACCGUCUGUCUAGGCCGGGACUGAGCCAGUUCUAGUGCAGUAGACUCCCACACCCAGACAUCCCAGGAGGCUGAGGCCCAACCCUGAUGCCUGCAAGGACAGAGGAGGAGGGAAAAGGAAGGGGAGACAGCCACUCCCCAUGUCCCACCCUGCUGAAGGCUGACAUUUAAAAUCAUGCAAUGGCGGGCAGGAUCACUUGUACGAUCACUGCAAGCCAUGCAUAGCCCAUCUAUGGUGGGCACUUCGGUGACCAAUGAAAGCAGAGCCCUGUUAUUCCUCUUGGAUAUGCCACAGCUACCACUCAUGACCAUUCCUCUUGGAUAUGCCACAGCUACACUCAUGACCAGGAAAUAAUUCCUUCAUCAGUUCACAAGAGGAAACACUACUCACUCCUCACUUCUGCGAGAGACUAAGCCACAAACAUCUUUCAGCCAACUCUGUCUUAACCCUUUGCAGUCCUCUGACCCUCCAUGGUUCCCUCCCCAGUCACUAGGGGUCAGGUGUGCUCCUCAGUGUGUCAGCUGCAUCAACAUGUCCUCAAAUGUGGGAAGCCAUAUUCAAUGUUAAACAUGUCUUAAGAAUAUGACACACAAAACAUGGCUUAAGCAUAUGACACACAAAACAUGGCUGUCCUUUCUAAGUGACCGAAGAAGAGGCAUUCGUAAAAAAAGGGAAGGAAUGAACAAACAGCCCAAAGCCUGAGGAACAAAUUCUCACACAGAUUUCCUCCACCUCCACCCCCAGAUCCCCUUAGAAACCACCAAUAGCAUGUGACUCUGAUCACUGGGUCCAUGAAUGACUAACAGGAUGGGGCAGCUAUCCAGACACAGAUGAAAUGCUGCCAAAACAGCACACUGAUAAGCUUACGUACACGAAUCUGAGAAUUAUUGUGUGGUGUUAUAAAUCCAAAUAGAUAAUGAAGCCAUCUUUCAUUUCUGGAAAAGAUGACUGCCCUCACAUGGGAUACAUAAUUUCAGGAAUGUGAUUAUAUUGUUUUGAAACUUUAACCUGAGGGUGUAAAAAUUACUCACUCAGCUUGAAAACUAAGAAAGUGGUUUUACUGCUUCUGUCUUACAGUUAAGAAAGCCAAGGUCAAGAGUGGUUCCCCAGUGUUUGAUCAAGGUCUGACAGCCAGCCGGUAUGCUGUUAAAACACUCAAUGCCAUUCUCCCGCUUAUAUCCUUCUUUUGUUAUCCUCCCUCUGCUCUGAGGGACUAACCAUGCACACUUCUGGGCAGGUCUUUCAUGAACCAUUUCCUGACCAUAAAAAGCCCCGAAUUUUGAGAUCAUAAAGCAGUGGCCUACAGUCCUACUAACCCAGGCAGCAACACAUAACGAAAUCCAGCGGAGCGGGGACACAGCUCAGCUUCUUAAAACUGCCCUAACCUUCAUAACUGUCAGGGAUAGGGGUGGCAAAAACCGGUAACGGGUCUUGAAUUCAUAAUAGGUCAACUAUUAACUCAAAACUCGACAUAUAAUGAGCCUGAGGUGGCAGUCUUCAUCCAUGAGGUAUGGCAUGAUGUCACUGCAUCCUAGGUUCUGGACACAGUGUUCUCAGCAUGCUGUGAAGGCCACUACAACACUCAGGGCCUACCAACGCUGCCUGGAGCACCCUGGCUGGAGACUACUGUGCGUUUAUGAGUUGCGGCCUCUUACAUUUCGUACAGGUAACACAUGCAGCACAUUAUCUUGUUGGUUACUUGGUGCACUUGGAACUUAUGCUACUAGAACAGCACCAUGGGAUGAGAAAACGAACUGCUGUCUCAGUCUGCAGGGUAGCUGGAGUGAAGCACCACAGACUGGGUGACUUGUGACACAGUAAGCCUGCUCCUCCUCAUUCUGGAAGCUGAGAAGCCCAGGAUCAAAGUGUUAGUAGAUAGGUAUCCAGCCAGUGCCCACUUCCCAGGUCAUGGAUGGAAGCAACCCUUCUCGACAACCCCACUUGGUAGAAGAGACAAGGCAGCUCCCUAGGGCCUCAUCCUUGAGGGCACUAACAUCAUUCCUCACCUCCCAAUUCCGUAUUAGACACCAGAUUUAAACAAACACUUGAGGGGUCACAGCUAGUCCACAAUAGCAUCUUUAUAAAUGUUCCCAGUAUAUGUCCCAAUACCACUCCAGGUAAAAGUCCUACAAGUGAGACUUGUGAUCCCCCUGCCUCUGCCCCUUCGACACAUCUGACUGGCAUGUGCUACCACAAUAGGCAUUAUGAGUGAAACUCAAUUGUCAAACUGCACAGAUAUUUUUCAGGCUCCUAAUGGGCCAGUGCUAACCUGUUUUCACCAAGGCCACAGCAGUCCACAGGACCAUACUCAGUGUUCUCAUGAGUGUCUGGAUUUCAACAUCCUUCCUCCUUAUGGCCAAGACCUCAAAGCUGUGUGAAAUGACUCAGAAUACUAAAAUUCAAAGACAUUAACACCGACAAUGCUCAGAAAUGAAGAGAUAGGUCCCAGACAACAGCGAUGAUUGACGGAUUACUACACAGAGUAAAGGUAUGAGAGAUGGCCUUGGUUAUGGUUACUAUUACAGUGAGGAACACAAAAGCAACUUGGGGAGAAAAGGGUAUAUUCCACUCACAGUUCUAUAAAACAGUCUCAUGAAACGCAGUGGGGAGAGGAACUCAGUCAGGACAGGAACCUGAAGGCAAGGGUUGAUGAAGAAGCCAUGGAAGGGUGCUGUUUACCUGGCUUGUUCACCAUGCUUUCCUAUAGAACCCAGGACCACCAGCCCAGGGGUGGCCCCACCCACAACAGACUGGGCCCUUUCUCCAUCAAUCACUACUUUUAAAAAAUGUCAUACAGACUUGCCAGCCUGAUCUAAUGGAGGUAUUUUCUCAACUGAGGCUCUCUGCUCUCAGAUGACUCUAGCUUGUGUCAAGCUGAAAUAAAACUAUUCAGCACAGAGGUGAUCUGUAUUUCAAAAAGAGGCACAGCCAGGUCUGUGCUUCAGGGAGAGUUUUAGCACUGUCCAGCUUAAGAACAACGCAGGAGCAGAAGCAGAAGCAGCCCUCUUGUGAACUGUUAACACCAUUCUGGAAAAAUCUACAAGACUGAUCAGCAGGUUUAAAAAGUGUGUAGACCUGGCUCUUUUUUUAGAAAAGCAAUGAAGAAAACUGGGAACAUACCUGUUCUACUGAAAAGGAAAACUCUUGAAGGUCAUGUAAGAAACUAGCAGGAGGUGCUGGGAGACUGAGGACAAAGCGAGGGACAAGGGAGGAGCUGGUGAGUGAGGAAAGGGGGAGCCAGGGCUUCACUCUACAGCCUUCUAGACAUUACCAAUGUGUGACUAUUCAAAACGUCAAGGACAGAGUGGAAUCUCAUAGAGAACUGCCUGAGGGGACAGUAAAGUUCCCCCUACUAAUAGGAAGAAAGCUAUUUUGUCAUUGACUCCGGGUUCCUUUAGUAACAGGAAAAAAGACAUGAGGGGGUGGAAGGUUGUAGAAGAUUAGCCAACACUGCUCAGUCAAUCAACUAGAUAUUCAGGGUAGGGGAAAUCUAAUCAAACCAAAUGUCCCAGAGGAUGUCUGUGGCUCUGGCUGCAGGAAGGAAGAUGAGGAACAGCACACUGGCUGGCUGUUUACAAGCUGCAGAGGUGGUGUGGAGCUGUGAGGCCCCCGGCUUGCAAUGGCAGGGACACCAGACAGAAUAUGCAGCCUGAUGGGUGCACCCCGUGACAGCAGGAAGUGCUGGUCAGCACACUAGAAUCCAAAUAUAAACGGCACUCACGACAUAUCCUCUGGAGAGAAUUUUGUUCUCUCCAAGAUUCAAAUUUUAUAAGUAGUAUUUUUUUUCAUUGCUGGGCAAAUAGAAGAGGGGUAAAUUGAGGAACCAUGGUGGUUGGCCCCAUCCAUCUGCGUCAAUUCAUCCGAGCUGGAAGGUACAUGUAGCUCACACUGUGUUUUCACUCAAAUACACUUAGAAGCCAUUGCAAACAAUGGUUAUUUACCCAUUGCCAACCCCACCCUUUUAAUAACAGAAGUCUGCUUCCAGACAGCCCUUGUUCAACUACAGAAGACAGUUUUCCCAGAGUCUUUAAAGCAGGAAGUGAUCCCCAACACAGUUCUGGCUGGUGAGAUGGAAGGCAGCGAGCCCAGGAAUUAGAGGCAAAUCCCAGCUAGGCGUGGCUUGGUCUGCCGGCCCAGCAAGCAGGAGGCUGAGCAAAAAAGGGAGGAGCAUUCAAGACCGGCCUGGGCUACUCAGUGGGAUGCCCUCCCCAUUUCCUUCUUCCCUGCCUAACAGCAACCACGGUCGGUUACCUGGAGAUACAGAAAACACUUCACAAAUGUGAGCCAAACACCAUCUGCUAGGGACUCUGAGGGGGAAAGCAGGAGCCUCGGUCCCUGGUGACAUCUUACAGCUGCCACUCCGACCUUUGCUUCACUCUGAACCUUCCCCAUUAGACAAACAAAGCCCUAAUAAGGGAGCUCCUUUCCAGGCCGCGAGCAAAGCCCCUUUAAGGCCUCAUCACAUUCCGUCUGUUUGUUACAAUCUCUAUCACUCCUAAUUCUGCUUCCACUCAAGUCUGGACCAGUCCUUGUGGUUGGGGUGCUUUCCCUCUGGAAUAGAGCUUGCUGUGGACAGUAACCUCCUAUCCGCAUCUUUCCCAAACAUGCCACUCUGAUUCCUAACAAAGGACACAUCAGCCAGUGAAUGGAUGGUGGAAAUGUGGUCUACAGCCGCCACAGAAUACAGCAGUGCUGCAGGAAGGGCUGCGAUCCUGUCAUUUCAACAACAAGGCUCAGGGGAGGUCACUACAUUAAGUGAAACAAGCCCAAGGCACAGAAAAACAAGUACCACGUGGUGUCACUCGAUAAAAAGCUGACUGCACACAAGCUGUGAUGUCAGAAGCUGGGGAGGCUGACGUGAGAGGGAAGGACAAAGGCUGGGGAACAAGUAACCGAGAGGUGACAAAGAUGGAGAUAUAAGUCCUGGCUUCUAUUGCAUAGUGGUGAGUAGGAUGGGUGACAGUGUUCACCAGAACCCAGUGUGCAUAGUCCUGGAACAUCACAUGGCUGGCCCAAAAUAUAAUAAGUCCCUUCAAUUUCAUCAUCUCCGUGAUGUCACUGUUCAUAUCACCCUUUCUCCUUGCUCACUCUUACUCUCUCCCUCACUGUAUGUUGGGGAUCAAACCCAGGGCUUUGAGCAUGGCUGGGCAAGCACUCUACCACUGACCUAAAUCUCCAGCCUGAGUCACAUGUUCUCUCUCAUGCCUAGAAGGUCGUGUUGCAUGUUAAAAACCGCACCUGCUGUGCUCUCCAGUGUUCGAAGACACUGUUAUCUUUAUUUUUGUUUCCCUUUGAAAUAAAACUGAAUCUAUUACA
rnacentral:sRNA from 1 species